UAUGUAUUAUAGAUAUAUAUUUGUAAAACUGAAAUCAGAUGAAAUAAAUGUUGCCUGAGGUUUUAAACGUUUAAUAAAAACAAUAUUUCAUUUGAAAAAAAUGUAAGAUAUGUAAAAUUACACAUUGAUCAUUUUGCUGGUCUUGUAUCAUAAAACGUGUGGCCCGAAGAGCACGUGUCCGGUAGAGAUACGUCACUUGUGUUAGGAAUCGUUUUAUAACCUAUCACAGUAAAGGAACGUCCCAGUAUAGCAGCCGAAGAAUGCAGUGGAAGUUUUUGUACAAAGUACAAUUGAUCUACAAUUGAUAUUUUCCGCAAUACUUAUCUGGUGUUCGGUCAGGGUGUCCCAUACUCAUGAUAUUUAUGACAGUGGAAUGGCGUUAGUAAAUCAAUUACAAAAAUUUUCGAGAUCAAUUCUCGGUAUUGCAUCAAAUUAUUCAAAAUAUACAAGCAACACAACGUUGCCCUUUUUGCAGGCAACAAGAGGAAUAUCGACCACGCAACCACUUUCAGAAAAACAAGAGAGUAUAACAUCUAGAAAAAUAACAUAGUAUUAAUAGAAUAGUAUUAAUAAGAACAACAUUGACAGUGAACAACUAAAAAUAUAACACUGUUAUAAAUAUAUGAUAUACGAAUUUUAUUUAUGUAUUAUUAAGACAAAGUAAAUAUAACGUUUGUUAAAGCAAGUGGAGAGAGAAUCAAAGCAAAAGGGAAAGUAGGAGAUACUAUAUUAGACAUAGUAGUAAAUAAUGAAAUUGAUUUAGGUGGAUAUGGUCACGGCUAGGCUGUCAAAUAGUAAUGUCUAAGGAACUAGAUGGAAUUGAGGUAAGAGUUCCAUCAACAAUUAAUGAUGCAAGAGCAUAACUGAAAUUAUCUAUAGGUUUUUGAAAAUUUGUAUACAAUGUUAUACAUCUCUUGUUAAAAAACCCUUGUUAUAAUUAUUAAAAUAUUGGUAUUAAAAAAAUAUAAUAAAGAAUCUUGUGUUUAAAUGUGAAGCUUAUAUAUAUACAUAUGUUAUAGUAUAAUUGCAAUUUUGAUAUUUGUACAUUGCCAUUGUAAAAAGCCUAUCCAAUUAUGAAGAAAAUAUAUCUUUUAUUUUUAAUAUA